ACGCCUCCUCCUCUCCCCAAUCCCCUCUCGUUUGGCGGCCUCCUCCGCUCCCAGCCGCCGCCUCCGCUCCGCGCCCGCCCCACGGAGGAAACCCUAGACGCCGCCCGCCUAUCCCCUCGCGUGCUCCCUAACCCUUGUAGCCGCCGCCCCCGUCCCUUCUCCUCCCUUCCCCUUGCCUCGUCCUCGCCUCCUCCACCCGCAACCCCCGUCGCCGGGCAGCCGCCUCGUCACUCGAGCAGCAGCACACCAUGGUAUGGAGCGGCUAGGAGGAGCUUAUGCGUGGUGGCAAGAGGAGGGCAGGGCGUCGGAUCGGAAGGAGCGCGGAUGGCGGCCGGCGGCCGGCAGGAGCAGCGCAGACCGUCGCUCGCACCGCCGCGGCGCGCCGUGAUGUCGCCGGAAGGACCGGCCGGUCGAGCUCCGUCUGUCCUGCACGUUUCUACGCCCGUGAGAUUCUCCUCCACGACCCCCACUUGCUCCUGCUGCUUCGUCAAUGAUGUUACCGAUGGUACAUAUUCUGUAUCCCAAGCUGCUCGUCCAUGACUCAUGUUGCAGCUAAUCUCCUUAAUCACUGUAUCCACCUCACCCGAAUGGAACAAGGAGAAGCCUGCUGCCUUUUCGUUUUGGUACAUCAAUUUUUGUAAAUCAUGCUGCUCGAUUCAUGGCCCCCUCCUAGCAAGAAUUCAGAGAUAGGGCCAAAGUGACAAUCAGAUUCUUUCCAUGAUGCUAGAAAGAGACAAGAAAAUAACAAAGAGGUUUCCAUUCGAUUUGAAUGGGGAGAUACACUCCAUAUUACCUCUACAUGUCAUUGAUUUUUCGUCAAGAUAUCAGCCUUGGACUCUGCUCUGAGAUUGCAUCUGCAAUGCUGAGCCACGACCGGAGGCUUGCAGUGGUGGUGUGGUCACUGGUCUGACCCUGGCAGGGUGUCUAACACUGGCGAUCUCGCCAUCUCUAUACAAGCCUGAGGUAAACAAGGCCUCCCUGCCCUCAAGCUGACUUAGGAUGUACAUCUGCAACCUCAGGUUGAAGCCGUAUCACCAAGGUGCAGCACAGUGGCUGCGUGUAGUGAGCAGCCUUUGAGGAAACUCAAGCACACUUGCCCCUUCUAUUGCAGACCUAGAGAAGUGUUCUAUUUGCAGCAUAUAAAUUUCUUCUUGUAUUAAUUUAUUGACGAACAGUAGGUGCACAUCAGCAUGCAAUGUUGUUAUCAGUAACCAGACUUCCAUACUCUGCAUUUAUAAGCGUUUCCAUUGAUCUGGCUUUCCCAUCUACACUUCUUCCUCUUAGUUAAUAUUGGUUCUCUCUCUGCAAUUGAAAUGUACUGCUAUAUAUGUUGUAGGACUGCAAACCUGGCAUAAUUUAGCUUUCUCUUAAUGUUUCCUUUAGAUUUACUUCCAUUCUCUGUUAUAUUACAAACCCUACUUAAGCUUGAUCGCAGUUACUUAUUUUCUUGCAUUUAGCUUUCUUUUAAUGUCUCCAUUAGAUUUACUUCCACGGUAUUCCUUUUUAAGAUGCUAUUGCUUCCCAGAAUUUCAUAGUUGUCCUGUUAGAUACUUUUGGUGAUAUCACUGGACAUUGUUGUUUGAAUAAAGAUCGUGUUGCUCGACCUGCUGCUGCGACCAUGAGGUGAUGCGAUGUGCUACUGCUACUGGUGAGAACCAACAGGAAGAGCAGAAACAGAGGGAGAAGGAGUGGUGAAAAAAAAGAGGAUUGGCAGAGGAGGAAGAGACCUCGGCGGCGUGCUUGGAGCUCCACGAUCCCAUCCGUACCCCUCUUUGUCUGGCUACAGAAGGAGGGCUUCGAUGGCGUGUCUUCUCUCUCUCCAGCCGAAGGGCGAGGAAAUGGAUGAGCAAUGAGUUGAAAGCAAAGGUCAGAAAGGGACUAAUAUUAUCAACUUCACGGUGUACAUCUGUCUUUCUCUGACCCUGGGCUAGAGGAUUUUGUUUCUUGAUGCACCUAAAAAAUAAGAAGUUCAUAGCAAAUUAGGUCCGUGUGAUUGAAUCGUUGACUGGCUUAGGCAGGGUGUGAUUGAUUAUUGCUGCCUCUCUAUCUUUUGAAAGACGCUAUUUCUUAGGUCUUGAAAUGAAGCAAUGGAGACAUGCAUAUCGCUAGCUCUGAACACCACUGUAUUAGCCAGCUCAUGGUACCUGAUGGGUUCAGGCCCUUGCUUCUAGCAGGUUCCAGCGACACAUGCACAUCUGUCGUUGUAUGACUGGUCAAGAAGGGAGAUGCAGGGGAAGGUUUUGUAUCUGAUGAAUAGUUCUAGCUAACGUGAAGUGGAACACCAGCAACAUAGAUCUGCUAAGGUUCCCAGGACGGAUGUGCUUUCCACCAUGUUUGGGUGGUCGUCAGCAUGUCCGUGCACUUCUUUUGUGUGUCUGUGCCUCGUGCGUGUUUGGUCUAUGUUGCUGGUAGUCACCGAUUUCUAUGGUGGUGACGUAUGCUAUUGGCAUGUUAUGCCAUGAUUUUAAGGCAUUCAGCUAUAAUUGCUAAAUCUGAUGAAAAUAUUUCAAGAUUUUUGUACCCACCACCUAACCUUGAUAUUGUUUAUUUUUUCAACAGAUCAUUUAUUUGUUUCUGCCAGUUUCUGUUCUAUGUAUUUGAAGGCGAUUCAAUAUUUUGAUUAUAAGACAUUCAACUAUAAUUUCUAAACCUGAUGAAAUUAAUGUGCCCUGAUGAAACUAAUGUCCCCUGUAGUAAUGAUUGUACUACAUACUACCUUUCAGUUCCAAGCAUCCAAUUAUAUCUUAAAUAUCUAAUGUAUGUGCUUUUUUUGUGUAUUGCUCUAUACCAACUAUGUUAAAACCAUGCUUGAUGCUGCUUGCUUAUCACUGAUUUUCAUAAAUGCUUAAUAUAGCACUUUGUAACCUGUCCAUUGGUGCGGAAUACAGCGACAUAGUAUUUUCCUCUUCCUGAAGCGUGCGCAAGGACGGAGAGACUGUGUCUGAUCCCGUGGGUGAUGAUUUGGGUUGUGAACUGUUGCUGGCCGUGGGAUGUGCUUGGACGGUGGAUGUUUGGGUCAAGGCGACAGCAAGGCACUGGAUCUAAGAUCUCAAGUAUUUUAGUAUUGUUUUUUUGCUCUAUGACAAUUUCAUCCGUUCUAGGAGCUGGUUUAUUGCUGGGAGGCAUAUGUCUUCAUUUCUCUGGACAGGUGCUCAAUAUUGUGCAUCUUUUUUAUUAGCAUUCAAGCCAUGGGCUUUGACCUUAA